ACGUUCACCUGCCAGGGAAAUAGCGAGUCCAGAAAGAUGGGUUCUCGGGGUUAGGCCCAUCUACUACAGUCUGCUAUGUUGUAGUAUGUGAGAUUUCCUCACAUCCAGGAAACUCACUGCACGAUUUGUGGUAGUGGAGAACGGCAUUCGUGUUCUUCCCUG
rnacentral:snRNA from 1 species